rnacentral:rRNA from 1 species
CGGCAACAGCUCAAAUUUGAAAUCUGGCCCUCGGGUCCGAAUUGUAAUUUGUAGAGGAUGCUUCUGGGCAGCGGCCGGUCUAAGUUCCUUGGAACAGGACGUCAUAGAGGGUGAGAAUCCCGUAUGUGACCGGCUGGCACCCUCCACGUAGCUCCUUCGAC